rnacentral:rRNA from 1 species
AACGAACGCUGGCGGCAUGCCUAACACAUGCAAGUCGAACGAGACCUUCGGGUCUAGUGGCGCACGGGUGCGUAACGCGUGGGAACCUGCCCUUAGGUUCGGAAUAACUCCCCGAAAGGGGUGCUAAUACCGGAUAAUGUCUUCGGACCAAAGAUUUAUCGCCUUUGGAUGGGCCCGCGUUGGAUUAGCUAGUUGGUAGGGUAAAAGCCUACCAAGGCGACGAUCCAUAGCUGGUCUGAGAGGAUGAUCAGCCACACUGGGACUGAGACACGGCCCAGACUCCUACGGGAGGCAGCAGUGGGGAAUAUUGGACAAUGGGCGAAAGCCUGAUCCAGCAAUGCCGCGUGAGUGAUGAAGGCCUUAGGGUUGUAAAGCUCUUUUACCCGGGAUGAUAAUGACAGUAUCGGGAGAAUAAGCUCCGACUAACUCCGUG